GUGUCUCCUCCGUGGAGCCGGCGUCUUUCCUCCUUGUAUGCCAAACAUGCUCUGAAGCCACGGGCACGUUAUCCAGCCCACUGAUGACUUUGACAAUCACACUUUAAAGGCAGCACCCAGGGCACAACGCUGGUCCAUAUUGGGAAAGCCUCCUGCAUAGUGAUGAGGAGCUGACAGACUACACCUGCAGGAUUAAAAGGGCAUUCAGGAGAGGAGCAGAGCCUGAAUGGAACCUUCGCUAAAGGUCAAUUACUUAUAGAGAAAUCGUGUUUAGUGCAAAUAUGCAUUUUUCACAAAACAGGACAUAAUCAGCGUCCUUGCGGCGCAUCAUUUUUUUUUUAUUUCGACUCAACUGAAAGACAUGGCAAAAACAAACAAAGAUAGAUGUGAACUGUUCUGGA